UCCUACGGGAGGCAGCAGUAGGGAAUUUUCGUCAAUGGGCGCAAGCCUGAACGAGCAAUGCCGCGUGAACGAGGAAGGUCUUCGGAUCGUAAAGUUCUGUUGCAGGGGAAAAAGAGCGGAGAGAGGAAAUGGUCUCCGAUUGAUAUUACCCUUCGAGGAAGUCACGGCUAACUACGUGCCAGCAGCCGCGGUAAUACGUAGGUGGCGAGCGUUAUCCGGAAUGAUUGGGCGUAAAGGGUGCGUAGGCGGCCUGCUAAGUCUGGAGUGAAAGGUACCGGCUCAACCGGUCCAGGCUCUGGAAACUG
rnacentral:rRNA from 1 species